CUAAAUACUACCCAGUGACCGAUAGCGUAUAGUACUGUGAAGGAAAGGUGAAAAGAACCCCGGGAGGGGAGUGAAAAGAACCUGAAACCUUGUGCUUACAAGCACACAAAGCACGUCAACGUGUGAUGUGGUACCUUUUGUAGAAUGGUCCGGCGAGUGAAUGUAACUGGCGAGGUUAAGUUCUUAAGGAACGGAGCCGAAGCGAAAGCAAGUCUGAAUAGGGCGUCUUAGUCAGUUGUAUUCGACCCGAAACCGGGUGACCUAUCCAUGUCCAGGAUGAAGUUAAGGUAAAACUUGAUGGAGGUCCGAACCCACGGUCGUUGAAAUGCCCGGGGAUGAGAUGUGGAUAGCGGAGAAAUUCCAAUCGAACCCGGAUAUAGCUGGUUCUCUCCGAAAUAGCUUUAGGGCUAGCCUCGACUGAACAUUACCGGAGGUAGAGCACUGAAUGGGCUAGGGGCCGAGAGGUUACUGAACCCUAUCAAACUUCAAAUGCCGGAAAAUGAUAGUCGGGAGUCAGACUGCGUGAGAUAAGUUUCGUAGUCGAAAGGGAAACAGCCCAGACCCACAGCUAAGGUCCCAAAGUACGGUUAAGUGGAAAAGGAUGUGGAGUUGCACAGACAACCAGGAUGUUGGCUUAGAAGCAGCCACUCAUUAAAAGAGUGCGUAAUAGCUCACUGGUCGAGUGACUCUGCGCCGAAAAUUUAACGGGGCUAAAUCGUACACCGAAGCUUGGGAAUAUCAGUUAUUCUUCAUGGACUUGCUAAGGUAAGACACCAUGGCACGGAGUGCCAUCAAAUUGUCCAUAAGGAUAAAGCGAGCUUGUGAAGAAUAACUGAUGUUGGUAGGAGAGCGUUGAAUGCGGGGUGAAGUCAGAGCGAAAGCGCUGGUGGACUGCAUUGAAGUGAGAAUGCCGGAAUGAGUAGCGAGAUUUAUGUGAGAAUCAUAAAGGCCGAAAGACUAAGGUUUCAGAAGGAAGGUUCGUCCGCUUCUGGUUAGCCGGGAGCUAAGGUGAGGCCGAAAGGCGUAGCCGAUGCACAUACGGUGGAGAUUCCGUAGCCGUCGAAAUAUUUAAGCAAAGGGACACUUAUGAAGGACAUGACCCGGGCGAUGGUAGCCCCGGGCGUAAGGGACUGAAAACAAGUAAGGAAGCAUGUUUGGAUUAAGGCGAGAAAAGCUUUGUGUAUAUAUCAGACGUCCGUACCGCAAACCGACACAGGUAGUCAGGAAGAGGAUUCUAAGGCCAACGGGAGAAGGGUAGUUAAGGAACUCGGCAAAUUGACCCCGUAACUUCGGGAUAAGGGGCGGUGCGUAAGCACCCGCAGUGAAUAGGUCCAGGCGACUGUUUAUCAAAAACACAGCUCUCUGCUAAAUCGAAAGAUGACGUAUAGGGGGUGACACCUGCCCGGUGCUGGAAGGUUAAGAGGAGGAGUGCAAGCUCCGAAUUGAAGCCCCAGUAAACGGCGGCCGUAACUAUAACGGUCCUAAGGUAGCGAAAUUCCUUGUCGGGUAAGUUCCGACCCGCACGAAUGGUGUAACGAUCUGGACGCUGUCUCAACUGCCCACCCGGCGAAAUUGUAGUACCGGUGAAGAUGCCGGUUACCCGCGGCAAGACGGAAAGACCCCAUGGAGCUUUACUGUAACUUGAUAUUGGGUCUUGGUAUUCUAUGUACAGGAUAGGCGGGAGACUAUGAAACAUACACGCCAGUGUAUGCGGAGUCACCCUUGGGAUACCGCUCUUAGAGUACUGAGAUUCUAACCUGCGGCCGUGAAUCCGGUCGGGGGACAUUGUCAGGUGGGCAGUUUGACUGGGGCGGUCGCCUCCUAAAAGGUAACGGAGGCGCUCAAAGGUUAGCUCAGCACGGUCGGAAACCGUGCCUCUGAGUGCAAACGCAAAAGCUAGCCUAACUGCGAGGCUGACGGGCCGAGCAGUAACGAAAGUUGGAGUUAGUGAUCCGGCGGUAUGUGAAUGGAAAUGCCGUCGCUCAACGGAUAAAAGCUACCCUGGGGAUAACAGGCUGAUCUCCCCCAAGAGU
rnacentral:rRNA from 1 species